rnacentral:rRNA from 1 species
CCUACGGGGGGCUGCAGUGAGGAAUAUUGGGCAAUGGACGAGAGUCUGAACCAGCCACGUAGCGUGAAGGAUGACUGCCCUAUGGGUUGUAAACUUCUUUUAUAUGGGAAUAAAAUGUUCCACGUGUGGGAUUUUGUAUGUACCAUAUGAAUAAGGAUAGGCUAACUCCGUGCCAGCAGCCGCGGUAAUACGGAGGAUCCGAGCGUUAUCCGGAUUUAUUGGGUUUAAAGGGAGCGUAGGUGGAUUGUUAAGGCAGUUGUGAAAGUUUGCGGCUCAACCGUAAAAUUGCAGUUGAAACUGGCAGUCUUGAGUACAGUAGAGGUGGGCGGAAUUCGUGGUGUAGCGGUGAAAUGCUUAGAUAUCACGAGGAACUCCGAUUGCGAAGGCAGUUCACUGGACUGCAACUGACACUGAGGCUCGAAAGUGUGGGUAUCAAACAGGAUUAGAUACCCCAGUAGUC